UACGAAGGGGGCUAGCGUUGCUCGGAAUCACUGGGCGUAAAGGGUGCGUAGGCGGGUCUUUAAGUCAGAGGUGAAAUCCUGGAGCUCAACUCCAGAACUGCCUUUGAUACUGAGGAUCUUGAGUAUGGGAGAGGUGAGUGGAACUGCGAGUGUAGAGGUGAAAUUCGUAGAUAUUCGCAAGAACACCAGUGGCGAAGGCGGCUCACUGGCUCGGUACUGACGCUGAGGUGCGAAAGCGUGGGGAGCAAACA
rnacentral:rRNA from 1 species